rnacentral:SRP_RNA from 1 species
GCCGGGCACGGUGGUGAGUGCUUGUAGUCUCAGCUAUUCGGGAGGCUGAGGUGGGAGGAUUGCUUGAGCCCAGGAGCUCUGGGCUGUAGUGUGUUAUGUCGAUCAGGUGUUUGCACUAAGUUCGGCAUCAAUAUGGUGACCUCCUGGGAGCCGGGGACCACCAGGUUGCCUAAGGAGGGGUGAACCGGCCCAGGUCAGAAACGGAGCAGGUCAAAACUCCUGUGCUGAUCAGUAGUGGGGUCGUGCCUGUGAAUAGCCACUGCACUCCAGCCUGGGCAACAUAGUGAGACCCCGUCUCU